CCAGUAAAGACAUCACACUAUCUCACCGUCACGGAGGUAAAGGUGGGUAGAAAACACAAAAAGACCAAUGGAGCAUAAUUUACCACAAAUUCUUUUAUCAAUAAUAAAAGUCUUUACUAUCCACUUACCUCGAUGAAAUUCAUAAAACAAGAUACGAAACCAAUAACAUUAUCAUCAUUACGAAAUCAUAUGAACUGUAUAACAUAAUACUUAUCACGCUUUUUGCAAUUCAAUCAUUACGUAACAUAUUUUUCCUCAUUUACCAGCCUACUAGUAUCCAUGGGGAUCCAUAGGGGUCCCGCUACCCAUGAACCCUUAACACUUGUAAUCAGAUCCCAGGGUCGUCCCCAUACCCCGUCCGGUAUGGGCGCCAAAACUAUAAACCUCAAUACCCAGUCCGGUAUGAGGGUGAAACGGGUCGUCCCCAUACCCCGUCCGGUAUGGGCGCCAAAACACAUAAGGUCUCCAUACUCCGUCCGGUAUGAGAGACCACAAUCCCGGUAGGGUUCCCUACGGACCCGGUCCGUCCACCAUCUCCUAGGAUAUCCAGUCAGGCUGACCACAUUAUACAAUUAUCAAUUUACAUAACCUUUCAUUCCUCUUUUCCUCAGUCAGCAUCAUCAAUUCACACACAAACAAGCAAACCAGUAAUUUAUGUCAAACAAUACAACAUACAAC
rnacentral:lncRNA from 1 species